UACGGAGGGUGCAAGCGUUAUCCGGAUUCACUGGGUUUAAAGGGUGCGUAGGUGGGUUGGUAAGUCAGUGGUGAAAUCUCCAGGCUUAACUUGGAAACUGCCAUUGAUACUAUCAAUCUUGAAUACCGUGGAGGUCAGCGGAAUAUGUCAUGUAGCGGUGAAAUGCGUAGAUAUCGGGAGGAACACCUGAGGCGAAGGCGGGCUACUGGGCUGAUACUGACGCUGAUGCGCGAAAGCCAGGGGAGCGAACGGG
rnacentral:rRNA from 1 species